UUUUGGAAGUUUGUCCUUACG
rnacentral:miRNA from 1 species